rnacentral:rRNA from 1 species
AUGGACAGAGCUGGAGGCAACCAAGCAGGCCAAGUGUCGAAGAAAGGAAAGAAGAAGCAUGCGAAAGACGAGUCAGACCGGCAGAAGCAGGCUGAGAAGAAGAGGCGCCGGCUGGAGAAAGCACUCGCAAACUCCGCAGCGAUCAUUUCAGAGCUGGAAAAGAAGCGGCAGCAGAAACAGGAGGAGCAGAGGAGGCUGGAUGACGAAGGGGCUGCGAUAGCCGAGGCUGUCGCCCUUCAUGUCCUCAUAGGCGAAGAUUGCGAUGAACCCCGCCAGCUAAUGUGGAACGGCCAUAGAGGCCGCGGCCAUCGGGGUGAUUUUGUGGAUCACGAGCCGGCUCCAGGCGCGCAAGGAGCAGGAGGAGACGCCUAUCCAUAUGGAAGCCGGUCACCGCUGGCACGGGCCUCUCGUCCCCACAUGCCCCAGUGGAGGCUGACCGACUGUGGCAUGUCCGGGCCGUUCUCGUUCUCAUCGUGGGAGCGAAUGGGCGAUUUUGAGGGGCUAUACUGCGAAGGGACACCCUGUCAGACAGACCAAGACACUUACUGCCACGGCCUCGUAGCAGCAACCCAGGCCGCCUCUCCAUUCGGAUACGGUUCGGAGGAUCCAUUCCCUGCCCAUGGAACGGAGGGUGCUUCCUCCAUCAACAUCAUGCUGGGCGGCGGCACCAGCAACAGCCUGAACAUCUACAGGAGACAAUUCUAG